rnacentral:rRNA from 1 species
UAGCCGCAGUUCACUGUGCUAAGGUAGCAUAAUCAUUUGUCUUAUAAUUAAAGACUAGAAUGAAAGGUUUAACGAAUAAAAAAUUUAAACACUAAAUUAAAGUUAAAUUAAAUUUUUUGUUAAAAUACAACAAUAAAAAUAAAAGACGACAAGACCCUGUCGAACUUAACUAAUGUUAUACUGGGGCAGUAUUUUAAUAAAAAUUUUAAUAUAAUAACUCAAAAUUUAUAAAAACUCAGUUACCGCAGGGAUAACAGCGCAAUUUAUUUUCAAAGCUCUUAUAAAAAAAUAAGAUUACGACCUCGAUGUUGAAUUAAUUAAGCUAAUAAAAGCAAGCUUUUAUAAGAAAGUCUGUUCGACUUUUAAACAAUUACAUGAUCUG